rnacentral:rRNA from 1 species
AACGAACGCUGGCGGCAGGCUUAACACAUGCAAGUCGAACGCAUCCUUCGGGGUGAGUGGCAGACGGGUGAGUAACGCGUGGGAACGUGCCCUUCAGUUCGGGAUAACCCAGGGAAACUUGGGCUAAUACCGGAUACGUGCGAGAGCAGAAAGAUUUAUCGCUGAAGGAUCGGCCCGCGUCUGAUUAGCUAGUUGGUGGGGUAAUGGCCCACCAAGGCGACGAUCAGUAGCUGGUCUGAGAGGAUGAUCAGCCACAUUGGGACUGAGACACGGCACAAACUCCUACGGGAGGCAGCAGUGGGGAAUAUUGGACAAUGGGCGCAAGCCUGAUCCAGCCAUGCCGCGUGAGUGAUGAAGGCCUUAGGGUUGUAAAGCUCUUUCAUCCGGGACGAUAAUGACGGUACCGGAAGAAGAAGCCCCGGCUAACUUCGUGCCAGCCGCCGCGGUAA